rnacentral:rRNA from 1 species
ACGGGAGGCAGCAGUGGGGAAUAUUGCACAAUGGGGGAAACCCUGAUGCAGCGACGCCGCGUGAGUGAAGAAGUACUUUGGUAUGUAAAGCUCUAUCAAUAGGGAAGAUAAUGACGGUACCUAACUAAGAAGCACCGGCUAAAUACGUGCCAGCAGCCGCGGUAAUACGUAUGGUGCAAGCGUUAUCCGGAUUUACUGGGUGUAAAGGGAGCGUAGGUGGUUUGGCAAGCCAGAAGUGAAAACCCGAGGCUUAACCUCGCGGAUUGCUUUUGGAACUGUUGGACUAGAGUGCAGGAGGGGUAAGCGGAAUUCCCAGUGUAGCGGUGAAAUGCUUAGAUAUUGGGAAGAACACCGGCGGCGAAGGCGGCUUACUGGACUGUAACUGACACUGAGGCUCGAAAGCGUGGGGAGCAAACAGGAUUAGAUACCCUGGUA